rnacentral:misc_RNA from 1 species
AAUGCUGACUGCCUAAGAUGAUGCCUGCUAGGUUUUAUUUUUGUCUGCUUACUUUUGGGAUUCUAUUGACCGUGUGUCAAGUUGACGGAAAUGUGGAAGAUAACCCUAGCCAAGAUGGCAUGGGGUUCAUUCAUAACACAAGGAAGUCAAGAAUCGGAGGUAUCUUUCCUCUGGGUCCACUCGUUCCCCGUUUUCCCGGACGUAGACCUGGACGACGUAUAAUAGCCGGAAGACUCGGCGGGGAAACUUUGAUAGAAAAGGCCAUUUUACAGUGAUUUUUUUUGGAUGUUCGACUUCAUCUAGAGAUUAAUCUGGACACAUUCAGCAAAAUACUUCAGAACAUGCCUUAUUUCAUGACUUUGUUGAUUAUACUCUCUUGUUCGUGAAUAACUAUGCAUACUUAAAGCCUAUCUGGCAAUUCGUUUCUUAUGAUUUCAUUUUUUUUAGUUUUAUAAGAUUUUAUAUUUAUCAAUAAAUAAUUUAAUUCUGUAUCAAUAACAGGAUUUAAGGCAAGAUUAAAAUCUCCGACUAGUAUAAAAAAAUCAUUAUCCAGUUCUAAGAAAAUCUCACGAACAUACUCAUAAAACUCAGGACUAUCUGUGUUUGGACCAUAUAUGUUAAUCAAAGUAACCAUAUUUCCCUCAAUUGCUAAAUCCAAGGCUAUUAAAUUCCCUGCUUUAUCCUUUCUGUCUUGAUGAACUUUAAAUUCGAAGUUAUUAUUAAAAAAAUAUAGAGACACCUCUUGCAUUUGAUUUGUAAGAGUUGAAGUAACAUUUAUAACCCCACAUGGCUUCUACACAUUGCUCAAAUUCGGGAAUAAAGUGUGUAUCUUGAAAACAGAUGAUAGAGUAACCCUUGGUUUUAUAAAAAUUUAAGACAUCUUGACGUUUUGAUAAAGUGGCCAACCCUGACAAUUAACUGUGGCAAUCUUUAUAGAAUCAACCAUUUUCAAAAGGAAAGAGAUAAACAAAUGUCAUGUAAAAGUGAACAAAAAGGAAAAAUUGUAAGCAACCACUUACCACCACCAUAUGCGUCCAGAUAUAUUGGAGUAUAAUUGAAAAAGAAAAUGAAAAGCACUCUCGCACCCUGUCUCUCACCUUCCAUACCAACUGUAAAUAAACAAACAUCGAACCCGAAGCGUCUAUGGUUUUCCGAUCCCGAUCAUACAAUAUGUACUUGCGACUCCGCAUACUCACGCAUAAGAAAAAUUAGCGCCGUUGCUUUAAUUUCUCGGUUAUGUCAUCCAGGAUGUCGAAUUUGUGUCUAUUUCCCUCGUUGUCCAACGCGAACACUUUCCCAUUGUAAUACCAGGUUGAAUGUAUCCUGGAAUCAUCCUUAAGAUCACGGAUCAGCUUGGCAUUCAGCGGAGUCAAAUGAUCAUGCAUGAUGAAGUGUUUUUUCACUUUUUCGACCGAGCGGUUCUUUAUAAUCCGGAUCUUUGUAUCGGUAUCGCGGAAUUUUGCCUUAAAUCAUGUUAUUGAUACAAAAAACUAUAAUACAAUAAACAACCCCAAGGCAAGAGAAAAAUUACUUGAAAUUAUGGAUGAUUUAUAUCUACUGGACUACUUCCGGACUUUGAAUCCUGACAAAAAGGUAUAUACUUGGCGGAAGAAAAACCCCUUAAAACAAGGGCGUUUAGAUUAUAUUUUAAUAUCAGAAAGUUUGUCCAACUCUGUAGAGUCAUACAUAAUUAAACCUGGUUAUAGAUCAGACCAUUCCAUUGUCAUUGUAGAAUUAAAAUUUAACUCUUUUAAAAGGGGACAUGGGCUUUGGAAAUUCAAUAAUAGUUUACUUCUUGAUAAAAAAUAUGUACAGACAGUGAAAGAAACCAUACGGAACUUCUCUACGCAACAAGAUGACACCGAUGAAGUAGACGAUAUUUUAUCUUUAGAAGUUCUCCUUAUGGAAAUAAGGGGUGUCACUAUUUCUUACUCCUCCCAUAGGAAAAAGGAAAGAGACUUGAGAGAAAAGUCACUACUUGAAGAAAUAGAAAAAUUGGAAUCUGAGGGAAAAAUUAAUUUACCCUUAAUUGAGGAAAAAAGGUUACUAUUAGAAAAUAUACGUAAAGAAAAGAUGGAAGGACAUAUGAUUAGGUCUAGGGCUAAAUGGGUAGAAGAAGGGGAGAAACCCACUAGAUACUUUUGUAAUUUAGAAAACCGUAAUUAUUUAAAUAAAACAAUUAAAAAGUUAGAACUUGAUGGAAAUAGUAUGAUCUAUGACCAGGCACGCAUACUUGAUGAAGUUAAAAAAUUUUACGAAAAUUUAUAUACAGAAAAAGAUUCAGAACUCUUAGAUUUGGAUCUUGAAGAUAUUAUUCAAAAUUAUGAAGUUCCAAAGUUGGACAAAUGUUUAUCGGAGUUGCUAGACAAAGAGAUAACUGAAAAAGAAAUUUUUGUUGUUUUAAAAAAUAUGAAAAAUAAUAAAUCACCUGGUAGUGAUGG